rnacentral:lncRNA from 1 species
GUCAUGGCUAUGUAGGUAGCCACUGGUAUCGAUGUGCUGAAGCCGAACUCUCUGUUCUUGCUUCCAUGUCUUUCCACUUCCUUCGAUCAUAAGCCUAUACGACUUUUGCAGGUGAGGAACUAAUAAUGUGUAUGUGUAAUAACAACAACAACAAUAAUGUGUUUUUAGAGAAAAUAAUUAUCAUACCUCCAGUAAUCACCAGUGUCGGAGUCGGCAUCCCCGCCAAAGCAACUAACCUGCACCAAGGAAUCUAGAACUAUCAGCAAACAUAGACCAUAAUUCGACUUCAAAAUCAAAUUUCUAUUGUUCUGUAACCAUAUGACAUAGUAUACAAAAUUGAGUUCAUGGCCCUCUCCUUCACAAUUGGACUAAGGUUUGUUGACUGUGUAACCCACAUUCCAUUAUCAUUACAAAGCCCAGAAUUUUCGCAUCUCGUGACCACUAAUACAAGACUAAAGUCCUCAAAUCCCAUAGUCAUACAGCGAGGUGUGCAUAUCAAACAAGCCAAUUGCCAAAACAAGUCAAACAGUGAACCACAAUUCACACCGUUUAAGGAAACUCAGAUACAAGUCAAAACAGAAAAGGUGUAGUAAUUGCCAAUGGAAACCAUUGCAUGAAUGGAGGAAAAAUGAAACGAUUAUAAAAACGUGGGAAGAGUGAUGGGAAGAGGGAUGUCAGAUGACAAUAAUAUCAUACAAUGGAUUAAUUUUUGAAAAACCAUUGUUGUGUAAAAUAUUAUGUCGAUUGUCUACCUCGAACUUGGUUUCUUUGGAAAAUACAAUAACAACAGAAUCUAGCCCAGAACAAUAUUCCUAAUAGCAGAAUAAAAUACUGAACCAACAAUCUUUGAAAUCUGUUAAAUGCCAGAAAUACAGUCUUAUAUGUACAUCUAAAUGAACCGAACAUUCUGAAGGCAAAUUCAUAUACUAGGAAAGUUCGUGCAAGUAAAAGAUAAAUGAGAGAUCUCGUAUUAGUUCUACAAUAUGAAUCACGUAUGGUCCACUAUGGUUUCCUUUGUUAACUUUAAUAACUGAGUUCUCAGGAAUAUAAUCCCACGCCUGCAAACAGGUUAAUAACUUUCUUCCUCCACCAAACAACAAAUACUGGCCUUGAUUAAUGCCCUUCAAUUUUUUGUUUGAGGUAAAGCAAUGGUGGGUGGAGGAUCGAACCUCCAACCUUUAGGGACGAAGGUUAGGCAAAUACCAAAACUCACUUUAGCCAGUUAAUGCCGUUAAGUUAUGGCAGUGUUGAGCUUUCUUUAUGAAUUCAGUCAUCAUGAAAUCAACACAAGCAACCAACGUAAUUGAAUACAAGAGAAACAUCAAACCAAUGAGCAAACACAAAGGGAUGCGUGAAAUGAAUGUUACAACCAACAUAUUAUCAUGAGAUCAUCCAGUAAAAAAAUUGAUAAAAAUGAAUGUUACAAUGCAAUUACCUCUAGAUUUCCCGAUAUUGGGGACGCAUGCAUGUGGCUGUGCAGCCAUUUCCUUGUCCUCAUGUGUUGCAAUCUGAUAAUUGUACCACUUUUAAUAGUGUCUCCCUGUUUCGCAGAUGUCCCAGGCUGAGGUCUUACAAUCUGCCAAUGAUAAACUCGUUAGAUUGAAAGUGAACACCAAUAUUCAUCACCAAAUCAACCAGCAAUAAGAAGAGUAACCAUCUAUUUGACUGUUAACAAUUUUUGU